GUGGGGAAUAUUGCACAAUGGGGGAAACCCUGAUGCAGCGACGCCGCGUGGAGGAAGAAGGUCUUCGGAUUGUAAACUCCUGUUGUUGAGGAAGAUAAUGACGGUACUCAACAAGGAAGUGACGGCUAACUACGUGCCAGCAGCCGCGGUAAAACGUAGGUCACAAGCGUUGUCCGGAAUUACUGGGUGUAAAGGGAGCGCAGGCGUGAAGACAAGUUGGAAGUGAAAUCCAUGGGCUCAACCCAUGAACUGCUUUCAAAACUGUUUUUCUUGAGUAGUGCAGAGGUAGGCGGAAUUCCCGGUGUAGCGGUGGAAUGCGUAGAUAUCGGGAGGAACACCAGUGGCGAAGGCGGCCUACUGGGCACCAACUGACGCUGAGGCUCGAAAGCGUGGGGAGCAAACAGGAUUAGAAACCCCGGUAGUCC
rnacentral:rRNA from 1 species